rnacentral:lncRNA from 1 species
AAGAAUGCGACACUAAAACCAUCUUAUCAGUUCAAUAAUUUGUAACAAACUGUAGAAGAUGAUGUACGCGAAAAAAUUGAUGUGCGGUGUUCACACGGUUAUGGAGGUUAGUAAGUGGUUAUUGGUGGUUUGGAGUUGUUGCUCAACCGGCAGUGAGGGUGGUUCGCUCUAAUACGGUUGUUGCAGAGAGAAACAUUUGUGUUGUUGUUAACGGUGCUAACGUAGGUUGCGGGUCUGAGAUACGGUGUUGAAUACGAUGAAACUUGAAGGUUGGAAGGAAGGCGAUGGCUAUGGAUUUGUUGUGGUGGUUGGCCGGAAGACGGAAAUGGGAGGUAAUCCGGUGAUGGAAGCAAGGUUGUUUUGGUGAGAGGGUGAAGAUGACGGUGUCGUCGGCGGAGGUAGUGGGGAUUUUGAAGCGAAGGUGAUGGAGUAAAUGGAGAGAAAAGGAUAAACUUUUUGCAGUGAGAAUGGGAGGAAAUAACGUGUGACCUAUUCUUUUGUAUUUUUUCAGAGUGUUAAAAGAGACUUUUUUGUGAGUGGAGGCAGAGGUUUUUGAGGAGAGUAAUGUGUCUUCAUGUGAGUGGGGGAGAGAAUAGUUCCAACAGAGAGAGAAAGGGAGAUUGAAGGUUUUUUGUUACUGUUUGAGAGAAAAAAUGUAUAUAUAAAGAAAGUGUUAUGGUGUUUUCAAAAUAAAAGGUAACGUGUGAGUGUGAGAGAGGGGAAGCGUGAG